GCACGAUACCCAGUGUCCUGAGCGAAGCGACGCCAUGAAGACAGUGGUUCUGCUGUGCGCCGCCGCGGCGCUGCUGUCGCUACCGGCGCAAGUGAACUCUGGUAUCAUACGGCUGUGCACCCCGAACGAGGUCAGCUGGAAGGAGUGCAACACCUGUAAGUGUGACCAGUUUGGGUCGUUCCAGUCUUGCACACAGAGGCGGUGCCGGGAACUCCAUCGACUCCGCAGAGAUACGCUGUGUCCACCGGGGCAGACUUUCCAGAGCGGCUGUGACAUUUGCCACUGUGCGGACGAUGGGAGCACCAUCUGGUGUACCAACGAUGGCUGUUCUGGGAAAGACUACAUGCAGAACGUGGACCAGGUGCAACACCAGUACCAACAAGUCCGCAGGCUGGAACCAGGGCUCAAAUUCGCGGGUGAUAAGUUCUCUGAAAUAGGAGAUCUUUUGCGGCCGUACCAACACCAUCAACGUUCAAAUGCGUACAGCUUGCCAGCAUGGUAUAGAGAUGUCCUGAAAGACAGGCAAGAGAUGUGGCAGCAGAUGCAGCAUAACCAGAUGCCCGCAUUUGACCAGUCUGGGCAGCUGUACCAGCAGGGCUACGAUUACGACCUGGACGACAGCCAGCAGCAGCAGCAUCAAGACCCCAGUGCAGACUUCGAUCAGGCGGUACAGCAGAUUCAUCAAUACGGAGAUCCUCAGUCUGGUAAACUGGUAAACGAUCAACAAGAAUCUGAAGAAGGUCUUCAGGUGUAUCAGCAAAGUGAGACAUCUGAUGCAGAUCAAAUUGCACAGCAAUCACUACAAAAUCAAUAUUCUGAACAGGUUAAUUGGCAUCCACAGCAAGACCAGAUUUCAGAUACAGGAGACGUCGUGCAACAACAUCAACAGAUCGAUACACCAAACAAAAACCAAGACCUUCAACAGACACAGCAAGAAUUAGAUUCUGAUAAUGAACAAAUCAGUCAACAUUCACAGCAGGAUCAAUCUUCCGAUUCUGGAGACAAUCUGCAACAGUAUCAACAGACCGAUGCAUCAAACGGAGACCUGCAACAGAUACAGCAAGAAUUAGAUUCUGAUUCUGAACAACUCAGUCAGCAUACACAGCAAGAUCGAUCUUCCGAUUCUGGAGACGAUUUGCAACAGUAUCAACAGACCGAUACAUCAAAUGGAGACCUACAGCAGACGCAGCAAGAACAAAAUUCUGAUAAUGAACAAAUCAGUCAGGAUUCACAGCAGGAUCAAUCUUCCAAUUCUGGAGACAAUCUGCAACAGUAUCAACAGACCGAUGCAUCAAACGGAGACCUACAACAGAUACAGCAAGAAUUAGAUUCUGAUUCUGAACAACUCAGUCAGCAUACACAGCAAGAUCGAUCUUCCGAUUCUGUAGACGAUUUGCAACAGUAUCAACAGAACGAUACAUCAAAUGGAGACCUACAGCAGACGCAGCAAGAACAAAAUUCUGAUAAUGAACAAAUCAGUCAGCAUUCACAGCAGGAUCAAUCUUCCGAAUCUGGAGACAAUCUGCAACAGUAUCAACAGAACGAUGCAUCAAACGGAGACCUACAACAGAUACAGCAAGAAUUAGAUUCUGAUUCUGAACAACUCAGUCAGCAUACACAGCAAGAUCAAUCUUCCGAUUCUGGAGACGAUUUGCAACAGUAUCAACAGACCGAUACAUCAAAUGGAGACCUACAGCAGACGCAGCAAGAACAAAAUUCUGAUAAUGAACAAAUCAGUCAGGAUUCACAGCAGGAUCAAUCUUCCAAUUCUGGAGACAAUCUGCAACAGUAUCAACAGACCGAUGCAUCAAACGGAGACCUGCAACAGAUACAGCAAGAAUUAGAUUCUGAUUCUGAACAACUCAGUCAGCAUACACAGCAAGAUCGAUCUUCCGAUUCUGGAGACGAUUUGCAACAGUAUCAACAGACCGAUACAUCAAAUGGAGACCUACAGCAGACGCAGCAAGAACAAAAUUCUGAUAAUGAACAAAUCAGUCAGGAUUCACAGCAGGAUCAAUCUUCCAAUUCUGGAGACAAUCUGCAACAGUAUCAACAGACCGAUGCAUCAAACGGAGACCUACAACAGAUACAGCAAGAAUUAGAUUCUGAUUCUGAACAACUCAGUCAGCAUACACAGCAAGAUCGAUCAUCCGAUUCUGGAGACGAUUUGCAACAGUAUCAACAGACCGAUACAUCAAAUGGAGACCUACAGCAGACGCAGCAAGAACAAAAUUCUGAUAAUGAACAAAUCAGUCAGCAUUCACAGCAGGAUCAAUCUUCCAAUUCUGGAGACAAUCUGCAACAGUAUCAACAGAACGAUGCAUCAAACGGAGACCUACAACAGAUACAGCAAGAAUUAGAUUCUGAUUCUGAACAACUCAGUCAGCUUACACAGCAAGAUCAAUCUUCCGAUUCUGGAGACGAUUUGCAACAGUAUCAACAGACCGAUACAUCAAAUGGAGACCUACAGCAGACGCAGCAAGAACAAAAUUCUGAUAAUGAACAAAUCAGUCAGGAUUCACAGCAGGAUCAAUCUUCCAAUUCUGGAGACAAUCUGCAACAGUAUCAACAGACCGAUGCAUCAAACGGAGACCUACAACAGAUACAGCAAGAAUUAGAUUCUGAUUCUGAACAACUCAGUCAGCAUACACAGCAAGAUCGAUCAUCCGAUUCUGGAGACGAUUUGCAACAGUAUCAACAGACCGAUACAUCAAAUGGAGUCCUACAGCAGACGCAGCAAGAGCAAAAUUCUGAUAAUGAACAAAUCAGUCAGCAUUCACAGCAGGAUCAAUCUUCCGAUUCUGGAGACAAUCUGCAACAGUAUCAAGAGACCGAUACAUCAGUAGGAGACCAAGUCCUACAACAGACACAGCAGGAAUUAGAUUCUGAUUCGCAACUAAGUCAGCAUAUACAACAAGAUCAAUUUUCAGACUCUGGGGAAAAUCUACAGCAAUAUCAACAAAGUGGUACACUCAACGAAGAACAAGAUUUACAACAAACACAGAAGAAAUCUGAUUCUGAUUUUGAACUUAGCCAGCAUACGCAACAAGAGCAGUCUUCAGAUUCCGGAGAAAAUCUGCAACAAUAUCAACAGGGCGAAGAUCAAAUUCUGCAACAGACGCAGCAAGAAUUAGACUCUGACUCUGAACUUAGCCAGAACACACACCAAGAGCAGUCUUUAGAUUCUGGAGAUGAUCUGCAACAAUAUCAACUCGGCGAAACCCAAAACAACGAUCAAAUUCAACAGCAGAACCAACAACAUGUUGACUCAGAUUUUGAACACAUCAGUUUGUAUCCCCAGAAACAAGAUCAAUCUUAUUCUAGCGAUGACCAGCAGCAGUACCAGCAGAGCAAUAUCUUCGGCUCAGGCGAUUUAGAACAGCAAGCACACCAAGACGAUACUGAAGGCAAUAGUCACGAUCGAUAUCAGCAGCAUCAAGAACCUGGAUCAGAACAGAUUGUACAGCAAUAUGAGAAGGAACAGUUUCCCAUCAGUAAUCAGGACUUGCAGCAAUAUCAGCAAAGCCACUUUGGGAACGAUGCGGACGUUUAUCAGCAGUCCCAUGAGCCAGACGAAUUCCUUGAUGGCUAUCAGUACGAUCAAAAUAAUCGCUUGCAUAAAAUAGACCAACAGCAGCAUGAGGCUAUAUUCUAAUAGCACGCAUCAAUAACGUAAGAUUUUAUAUUUCUUUCCAAGACAACAGACACCUGGACUCAGUUGUACCUUAAUAUGUGAGAGACUUCUAUCUGUAUCAUCCGUCGGCUGCAGACAAUAAACGGAAUCAGUUUACUGAGAUCCGUGAAAACGUCCUAAAAAGGGUUUUCGUUCUAUCACAAGACCAUGUGAAACUUCGUUUACGUAAUAGGUGUCUCAACAUAGUGUCCCCGUUACACAACUUGCGUAUGAACGCCCAAAUAGUGUUUUCUGAUGUGACGAACAUUACAUUCGAAAAAUCGAAAAUUGUGUAUUUUUUUAAAAUAAAUGUGAUAAAUGGGAAAAAAAUUGAUGGACCGAUA